rnacentral:rRNA from 3 species
GUUGGGUAGGGGAGCGUUCUGUAAGCCUGCGAAGGUGUACUGUGAGGUAUGCUGGAGGUAUCAGAAGUGCGAAUGCUGACAUAAGUAACGAUAAUGCGGGUGAAAAACCCGCACGCCGGAAGACCAAGGGUUCCUGUCCAACGUUAAUCGGGGCAGGGUGAGUCGACCCCUAAGGCGAGGCUGAAAAGCGUAGUCGAUGGGAAACGGGUUAAUAUUCCCGUACUGGUGGUAACUGCGAUGGGGGAACGGAGAAGGCUAGGUUGUCCGGGCGACGGUCGUCCCGGUUCAAGCAGGUAGGCAGAGUGAUUAGGCAAAUCCGGUCACUUAAUGCUGAGAUGUGAUGACGAACCACCAAGGUGGUGAAGCAAUUGAUGCCCCGCUUCCAGGAAAAGCCUCUAAGCUUCAGGUUACCAACAAUCGUACCCCAAACCGACACAGGUGGUCAGGUAGAGAAUACUCAGGCGCUUGAGAGAACUCGGGUGAAGGAACUAGGCAAAAUGGUGCCGUAACUUCGGGAGAAGGCACGCUGGCGGUAGGUAAAGUCCCUUGCGGACGGCGCUGAAGCCAGUCGAAGAUACCAGCUGGCUGCAACUGUUUAUUAAAAACACAGCACUGUGCAAACACGAAAGUGGACGUAUACGGUGUGACGCCUGCCCGGUGCUGGAAGGUUAAUUGAUGGGGUCAGCCGUAAGGCGAAGCUCCUGAUCGAAGCCCCAGUAAACGGCGGCCGUAACUAUAACGGUCCUAAGGUAGCGAAAUUCCUUGUCGGGUAAGUUCCGACCUGCACGAAUGGCGUAAUGAUGGCCAGGCUGUCUCCACCCGAGACUCAGUGAAAUUGAACUCGCUGUGAAGAUGCAGUGUACCCGCGGCAAGACGGAAAGACCCCGUGAACCUUUACUAUAGCUUGACACUGAACAUUGAGCCUUGAUGUGUAGGAUAGGUGGGAGGCUUUGAAGUGUGGACGCCAGUCUGCAUGGAGCCAACCUUGAAAUACCACCCUUUAACGUUUGAUGUUCUAACCUAGGCCCAUAAACUGGGUCGGGGACCGUGUCUGGUGGGUAGUUUGACUGGGGCGGUCUCCUCCUAAAGAGUAACGGAGGAGCACGAAGGUUGGCUAAGCAUGGUCGGACAUCAUGCGGUUAGUGCAAAGGCAUAAGCCAGCUUGACUGCGAGAGUGACGGCUCGAGCAGGUACGAAAGUAGGUCUUAGUGAUCCGGUGGUUCUGAAUGGAAGGGCCAUCGCUCAACGGAUAAAAGGUACUCCGGGGAUAACAGGCUGAUACCGCCCAAGAGUUCAUAUCGACGGCGGUGUUUGGCACCUCGAUGUCGGCUCAUCACAUCCUGGGGCUGAAGUAGGUCCCAAGGGUAUGGCUGUUCGCCAUUUAAAGUGGUACGCGAGCUGGGUUUAGAACGUCGUGAGACAGUUCGGUCCCUAUCUGCCGUGGGCGUUGGAAGAUUGAGAGGGGUUGCUCCUAGUACGAGAGGACCGGAGUGAACGCACCACUGGUGUUCGGGUUGUCAUGCCAAUGGCAUUGCCCGGUAGCUAAGUGCGGAAGAGAUAACCGCUGAAAGCAUCUAAGCGGGAAACUUGCCUCGAGAUGAGUCUUCCCUGUCGCUUUAAGUGACCUAAAGGAACGUUUAAGACUAAGACGUUGAUAGGCUGGGUGUGUAAGCGUAGCGAUACGUUGAGCUAACCAGUACUAAUGAACCGUGAGGCUUAACCUG